rnacentral:tRNA from 1 species
GUUUUUAAGGUGUAAAUAGCACGUUAGAUUUUCAUUCUAAAGGUGUAGAUUUAUCUACUGAAAAUA